AGGUCUAUAAUGUUCAAGACUGUGUUCCUCAUGUAACUGGCAUUGCAAAAUGAAACUUUAAAGGUUAUCUUUCUUCUUUUAGAGUCAAAUGGCUUCCUGAGGCCUAAGACAUAAACAGCUUCCCCCACCUCUCCUCAGGACAAGUGAAGGAACAGAAUAUGAAGAUGCUGACACCAAGAAGCCUGAAGCCCAGAUUCAUUUCCCCAAGGAAGGGGACAGUGAGCUAAAGAUGGCUAAAAAUGAUAAAACACAAUGGUGAUGGAGAUCCAAUGUGGCUGAAUAGAGAAGGAGUCACAUCAGAGAGACUCAGAGAUCAACUAAAAACACAGGUAACUGGAAGCAGAACAGGGACAUGCACUCCAAUACAAAAAAUCAAUUUGAAAGAAGACACUUGUGCAUCAAACAAAGCAUACACAUAGAAGUUAAAAAGAGGUGAAGCCAUCCACCAGGGCUGGUCCACAGGAGCCUUACCUUUGCCCACCCCAG
rnacentral:lncRNA from 1 species